ACAAUUUUUUUUAAUGGUUUUAAUGCUGGUUUUGUAAAAAUAAAAUAAAUGAAGGAAAGGUGGGAGGAACAGUAACGAAACAUUCAUUUGUUCACGCUCCCUCAAACUCAUCUUCUCUAUCAACCAUUCUCUCUCACCCUCAAUCAUUCAUCUUCUUCGCUCACCACUGUGAAUCUCACUUCUCUAUCCGUCCCUCAAUCGCUCCUACCAAAACUCAACCUCUCGCCGCCUCUCGAUAUCUCACACCCAGAACGCGAAAAAAAGACUAGAGAUUUAAAAAGAAGAUCCAAUACGAAAGCUACCCUUGGCGGUGAUUCGGUGGUGGCGAGCUUGCAACUGUCUUUCUUCGCUAAGUUUCAGAGUAUUCAACCGUCGAUUGAAAUUAGGUUUUCGUCUUUGGGUAUUCAGCGUUUCUGUUGUUUUUUGUUAGGGUUUCGUGGUCGUCGCCUCCGAUCUCCUCUUGUGCGCAUCACCUCUCACCUUUUAUAUUCACUACCUAGGGUUUCAGAUUGGUAUACAGAGAUUCAAAAAAGGAACUUCCUGGAAGUGCUUUUAGGUGCUCAGAAUCGGAUUGCCUUCUUUGAUGCUUGGACUUGGAAAAGUGAAAUUUGGAGCAUUCAUGAGAAACUCUCAGUUCUUUCAACGACGAUUUUGGCUUCAACGGUAUCGAGUUUCAGAAAACCCUUUCUUUCACGAACUGAUUCCAGCAUUGACAUCCCCCUUUCUGGACCGCACCACCACUUACUGGUCUGGCCAUGACGAUACACCUUCCGGCUCAUCUACUGUUGAGUUGCUCAUUGGCUAUGAAUCAGAACACAAGCAUUACUUGAAUGUUUCUGCAGCGACCAAUUUAUUUGUGAAUCUCAUUGGCUGCAGGUUUGAUAUUGGCAUCCUGGUUAUUGUCCAUCGGGGUUGAGAAUGCAGAAGUGUCGUGUUUGGGGCUCGUUUCUGUUGCAGCUUCCUUUGUAGCUAUGGGAUUAAACAAACUCCUGGACAUAUUUGCAUAUCAGUAUCCUUGAAGCAGUCUGCAAACUUCUAUUGGAUAAUUAAAAGACUGUUUUUUUGUGCAGAUUCCUGAUUCAGUGUGGUCUUAGGUGAAGCAUCCUUAAAGUCGCAUUUGAUGGCCUCGCUUGUGCGUUUGCAAAGUGUGCUUGUUUCUUGCUCUCAUCUCUAAGAGCAAUCAAAGCAGGUAUGUCUUCAAACCCCUUGUCAUUUGCCUUCAACAUUGUGUCUAAACCAAUGAGUUGCUUAUAAACAAAAUCACCCUGAGAAAUAAUGAAUUCCUUUAGUGAUGCAGUUCCAGAAAAGUACUUGCUACCACUCAUUGACCGUGCCAUGCCAGCAAGUAACUCAUCAUUACCGGCAUAUCCACGUUUACCUUUUCAUGAAAAUCCCUGAUGUCUUUUGGUCCGGGACAAUGGAGAGGAAUUUAUUAUGCAGAUAGGCUGAAAAAAUUGGGUCCACUGACAUAGCAGCCACUGUUUAGGCUUGUUUGUUGCAGGUUGUGCCUUGCCCUUUAUUGUUUGUUGCAGGUUGUGGACGAGGUUGCAAGCAUGUUGAUUGCAGGUUGCAUUGGUUUAUUGCAGCAAGAUUAUUGAUGUUGCAUGUUACAAGGUCUGUUGUGGCAUUGAUGAUGGUCCAAUGCAGGAUGGUUUUAUGGGGAACUUCCAUACAGAUUGAGCAGAUGAAAGAUAUUGGGUUUCCCUGUGACCUUGAGUCCGGGACUUGCACCGCAUCUUACCAACUUAGCCGUUUUAAAAUUGAACCUGGAACUUCUCUAGAGCAACGAAUUUGAUGGUCUUCACUGCGCUCUCGAUUUAGAAUUCUUGCAGCAUUUGGUAUCUUGUGAAGUAUAUCAUGAUCUGCUGCCCUCAUUCUAUACCAACAGGAGCCAUUCACAUUAAAUGUUGAUACGGUUUUGCGGUCUUCUGCUACCAAAAGUCCAAGCAAGAACAAGAAUCAUGCUUAAAGUGAUGAAAGCGAUGGCGAUUAGCUUUACUACGGUUUUUUACUUGGAAUGUGAGUUUGACAAUUUGUCAUGGCAAGCUGUAGCGUGAGGCAGGGUGCGCACAUGGCUGGAGAAUGGUGAGCCAAAAUUUUCCUUUGCUGACUGCAUGAUGUUAUUGAUGCCAAUAAGCUCAACACUUUCUACUCCAAGAAUACGGUCAAAUUCCCUCUCGUCGUGCAUCUCAACAAGGGCGGCCAAUCCAAGUAAUUUGCAUAUUUUAACCAUGUUCUUGAUGUCAAGAUCAGGUAAAACAGCGGCAAUUAGAAGGACUGCAUCUGCUCCUUUAGAUUGAUCAUAGUAGAGUUGCCAAGCAUCUAUGAUGAAUUCUUUGCACAACAAAGGGCACUUUACUCCAGCAUUUCUUAUUAACUCAAGAUUUUCAAAGCUCCUUGAAGUAUUUUUCAUCUGUCAAAACACUUAGACAUGCUGCUCCACCUUAGGAUGUUUCAUUGUUGGAGUGGUUUUUUGUAAAAUGGUUAGAUUAUAUGUAAUUGAAAGUGAGUGAAAAUUUGAAUGGUUUACGUAAUAUGGUAUGGAAUCAAAUUACAGGAAAUUUGGGAAAAAUGAGAUUGAAUGGACAAAGAGCUCCAUGAAUUUGAAUGGUUUAUGUAAUAUGUGUGAAAUUGUUUGUAACUUUGGAAUUGAGAAGUGAUUUUGAACAUGUGAAUUGAAAUGGUUUAUGUAAUAGGAUCCCACAUGUAACUGUGACUUGGGAUUAUGUAAUGAAUGUUCAUUGAAUUGUAUUGAAUGGAAUUGGAUAUAUUGAAUGAAGGUUUGAAAGUUUGAAUUAA